rnacentral:rRNA from 1 species
AACGAACGCUGGCGGCAUGCCUAACACAUGCAAGUCGAACGAGACCUUCGGGUCUAGUGGCGCACGGGUGCGUAACGCGUGGGAACCUGCCCUUAGGUUCGGAAUAACUCCCCGAAAGGGGUGCUAAUACCGGAUAAUGUCUUCGGACCAAAGAUUUAUCGCCUUUGGAUGGGCCCGCGUUGGAUUAGCUAGUUGGUAGGGUAAAAGCCUACCAAGGCGACGAUCCAUAGCUGGUCUGAGAGGAUGAUCAGCCACACUGGGACUGAGACACGGCCCAGACUCCUACGGGAGGCAGCAGUGGGGAAUAUUGGACACUGGGCGAAAGUCUGAUCCAGCAAUGCCGCGUGAGUGAUGAAGGCCUUAGGGUUGUAAAGCUCUUUUACCCGGGAUGAUAAUGACAGUACCGGGAGAAUAAGCUCCGGCUAACUCCGUG